rnacentral:rRNA from 1 species
UUACGGUCACAUCAUGUUGAAAACACCGGUUCCCAUACGAUCAACAAAGUUAAGCAACUUUGAGCCUGGUCAGUACCUAGAUAGGUGACCGCUUGGGAAUACCAAGUGCUGUAAG